AUGGAGGAGCAGAACCCCAGUCCCCAGAGCCCCAAGGAGAGGCACCAGCUGAGAGAUGGAGGGAGAGGCCAAGAGGAGGAUGGCACCAGGUGUACCAGCACCCUUCCCAGGCAGCUGCCUGCAUCCCACACCUCUUCCUCCUCCCGCCCACAGCUGCAGCAGCCUCAGGGCAGCCAGGGCCGGUCCCUGCACCGGCUGACAGUGCUCAGGAGCUCCCAGGGCCGGUCCCUGCACCGGCUGACACUGCCCAGGAGCUCCCAGGGCCAGUCCCUAACCCGGCUGACAGUGCCCAGGAGCUCCCAGGGCCGGUCCCUAACCCGGCUGACACUGCCCCGGAGCUCCCAGGACAGCCAGGGCCGGUCCCUAACCCGGCUGACAGUGCCCAGGAGCUCCCAGGGCCGGUCCCUAACCCGGCUGACACUGCCCAGGAGCUCCCAGGACAGCCAGGGCCGGUCCCUAACCCGGCUGACAUUGUCCCGAAGCUCCCAGGGCCGGUCCCUAACCCGGCUGACACCGUCCCAGGGCUCCCAGGGCCGGUCCCCAACCCGGCUGCCAUCGCCCUGCAGCUCUCAGGGCCGGUCCCUGCACCGGCUGACAGUGCCCAGGAGCUCCGAGGGCCGGUCCCUGCACCGGCUGCCAUCGCCCUGCAGCUCCCAGGGCAGCCAGGCCCCGUCCGUGUCCCGCAGCUCCCAGGGCCGGUCCCUGCCAUCGCCCUGCAGCUCGCUGAGCUCGGCGGGUACCGAGAGCCGUCUCAGCCGGGAUGAGGGGCACAAGUCCCGCCCUGGUGGCUCCUUGCAGCCGGCCACUGUGGCCAGCAGAGCCGCAGCCCGUGGCCAGCACCGGCGCGUGAGAAGCCGCGGGGCCGCCGGGCCAGAACCGGCCUCCACGAGGAAAGCAAUUUCUGACCUACAGAGAAAGGCCUCUCACCGUGUGGAACAGGAAACCCAGACUGAGACCUGGGCACAAGAGGCGGAUUCAGCUGUUCAAUAUGCUGAGCAGGAGACACAGACAGAUAGUGUGGCAGAAGAGGAGAAAAAUUCAGCUGCUCCCCUCUUGGUUGACCAGGAGACAGAAACUGAGACUCCAACACAAGACAAGAAUUCAGUUUCUCCUCAAAUCACUGACGAGUGGAGACAGACCAAGGCCCACAGCUCUGGCCCCUCCACAGGCACUCACCAGCAGCUGCUCUCCCUGUUCUGCAGGGCAUUCUGGUGCUCCCGCAGGGCUGGACAGCCUCGAGCUCCCAGCGCCCUGACGGACCUCAGGGACAGCUGCUGCUCCAGGCAGCCACAACGGCCUGAGCGCAGCACACCGGAGGAGUGGGGAUGGACGGCACUGCCGCCCUACUCUUGGCCAUGGCUCAUUGAGAUGAACCAGUUUUAAUAAAAUAUUUCAUUUCUCUA
rnacentral:lncRNA from 1 species